rnacentral:rRNA from 1 species
AUUGAACGCUGGCGGCAGGCCUAACACAUGCAAGUCGAGCGGAUGAAGGGAGCUUGCUCCUGGAUUCAGCGGCGGACGGGUGAGUAAUGCCUAGGAAUCUGCCUGGUAGUGGGGGAUAACGUCCGGAAACGGGCGCUAAUACCGCAUACGUCCUGAGGGAGAAAGUGGGGGAUCUUCGGACCUCACGCUACCAGAUGAGCCUAGGUCGGAUUAGCUAGUUGGUGGGGUAAAGGCAUACCAAGGCGACGAUCCGUAACUGGUCUGAGAGGAUGAUCAGUCACACUGGAACUGAGACACGGUCCAGACUCCUACGGGAGGCAGCAGUGGGGAAUAUUGGACAAUGGGCGAAAGCCUGAUCCAGCCAUGCCGCGUGUGUGAAGAAGGUCUUCGGAUUGUAAAGCACUUUAAGUUGGGAGGAAGGGCAGUAAGUUAAUACCUUGCUGUUUUGACGUUACCAACAGAAUAAGCACCGGCUAACUUCGUG